GCCAUGCAUGUCUAAGUAUAAGCAAUUAUACUGCGAAACUGCGAAUGGCUCAUUAUAUAAGUUAUCGUUUACUUGAUAGCACAUUACUACUUGGAUAACCGUGGUAAUUCUAGAGCUAAUACAUGCUAAAAAUCCCGACUUCGGAAGGGAUGUAUUUAUUAGAUUAAAAACCAAUGCCCUUCGGGCUUGCUGGUGAUUCAUAAUAACUUCUCGAAUCGCAUGGCCUUGCGCCGGCGAUGGUUCAUUCAAAUCUCUUCCCUAUCAACUUUCGAUGCGAAGGUCUUGUCUUCGCAUGGUUACAACGGGUAACGGAGGGUUAGGGCUCGACCCCGGAGAAGGAGCCUGAGAAACGGCUACUACAUCCAAGGAAGGCAGCAGGCGCGCAAAUUACCCAAUCCCGACACGGGGAGGUAGUGACAAGUAAGUUACUCGUGACCGAUUUGCUUUUAAUUUUCUCUUUUUCGUAUGGACUCUUUGCUAAUGCUUACUUCUCUAGUAAAUACUGAUACAGGGCUCUUUUGGGUCUUGUAAUU
rnacentral:rRNA from 1 species